rnacentral:misc_RNA from 1 species
AAGUCGUAACAAGGUCUCCGUUGGUGAACCAGCGGAGGGAUCAUUACAGAGUUGCAAAACUCCCAACCCUUUGUGAACAAUCUUGUUAGUUGCCUCGGCGGGGAGCCCCUCAGGGAGUCCGACCGCCGGCGGACUGCAAACUCUUUUAAUUACCAUUCUGAUUACUUAUUUAAUAAGUUAAAACUUUCAACAACGGAUCUCUUGGUUCUG